rnacentral:rRNA from 1 species
ACUCAAAUGAAUAGACGGGGGCCCGCACAAGCGGUGGAGCAUGUGGUUCAAUUCGACGCAACGCGAAGAACCUUACCCAGGCUCGAACGGCAAGAGACAUCCGGCGAAAGCCGGCUCCCGCAAGGGCUGUUGUCGAGGUGCUGCAUGGCUGUCGUCAGCUCGUGUCGUGAGAUGUUGGGUUAAGUCCCGCAACGAGCGCAACCCUUGUCCUCUGUUGCCAUCAGGUUAUGCUGGGCACUCUGAGGAGACUGCCGGUGAUAAACCGGAGGAAGGUGGGGAUGACGUCAAGUCAGCAUGGCCUUUAUGUCUGGGGCUACACACGUGCUACAAUGGCCGACACAAACCGUUGCGAUGCCGCAAGGUGGAGCUAAUCGGACAAAGUCGGUCUCAGUUCGGAUUGCAGGCUGCAACUCGCCUGCAUGAAGUUGGAAUCGCUAGUAAUCGCGGAUCAGCACGCCGCGGUGAAUACGUUCCCGGGCCUUGUACACACCGCCCGU